UCCGCCUUACAGCGGCAGUUUGUUCCGAGUCCCCGACAUGACUCGCUGGUAACAGAACAUGAGGGUUGCGCUCGUUGCGGGACUUAACCCAACAUUUCACAACACGAGCUGACGACAGCCAUGCACCACCUGUGUACCACCCUCGCAGGCUGAUGGAUUUCUCCACCGUGCAGGUACAUGUCAAGCCCUGGUAAGGUUCUGCGCGUUGCAUCGAAUUAAGCCACAUGCUCCACCGCUUGUGCGGGCCCCCGCCAAUUCCUUUGAGUUUCAACCUUGCGGCCGUAGUCCCCAGGCGGUUCACUUAAUGCGUUAGCUGCGGCACCGAGUCUUACGACCCAACACCUAGUGAACAUCGUUUAGGGCCAAGAAUAC
rnacentral:misc_RNA from 1 species